rnacentral:rRNA from 1 species
AGUGACAAUAAAUAACAAUACGGGGCUCUUUCGGGUCUCGUAAUUGGAAUGAGUACAAUUUAAAUCCCUUAACGAGGAACAAUUGGAGGGCAAGUCUGGUGCCAGCAGCCGCGGUAAUUCCAGCUCCAAUAGCGUAUAUUAAAGUUGUUGCAGUUAAAAAGCUCGUAGUUGAAUUUCGGGAUUGACACAUCGGUCGUGCCUUAAGGGGUAUGAACUGGUGUAGUCAGUUUCUCACCUUCUGGAGAACCGCGAUGUCCUUAAUUGGGUGCCGCGAGGAACCAGGACCUUUACUUUGAAAAAAUUAGAGUGUUUAAAGCAGGCAUUUUGCUUGAAUACAUUAGCAUGGAAUAAUAAAAUAGGACGGAUGGUUCUAUUUUGUUGGUUUCUAGGAUCACCGUAAUGAUUAAUAGGGAUAGUUGGGGGCAUUAGUAUUCAAUUGUCAGAGGUGAAAUUCUUGGAUUUAUUGAAGACUAACUACUGCGAAAGCAUUUGCCAAGGAUGUUUUCAUUAAUCAAGAACGAAAGUUAGGGGAUCGAAGACGAUCAGAUACCGUCGUAGUCUUAACCAUAAACUAUGCCGACUAGGAAUCAGACGAUGUUAAUUUUUUAAUGACUCGUUUGGCACCUUACGGGAAACCAAAGUGUUUGGGUUC